GACGAACGCUGGCGGCGUGCCUAAUACAUGCAAGUAGAACGCUGAAGGAGGAGCUUGCUUCUCUGGAUGAGUUGCGAACGGGUGAGUAACGCGUAGGUAACCUGCCUGGUAGCGGGGGAUAACUAUUGGAAACGAUAGCUAAUACCGCAUAAGAGUAGAAGUUGCAUGACAUUUGCUUAAAAGGUGCAAUUGCAUCACUACCAGAUGGACCUGCGUUGUAUUAGCUAGUUGGUGAGGUAACGGCUCACCAAGGCAACGAUACAUAGCCGACCUGAGAGGGGGAUCGGCCACACUGGGACUGAGACACGGCCCAGACUCCUACGGGAGGCAGCAGUAGGGAAUCUUCGGCAAUGGACGGAAGUCUGACCGAGCAACGCCGCGUGAGUGAAGAAGGUUGUCGGAUCGGAAAGAUCGGUUGUAAGAGAAGAACGAGUGUGAGAGUGGAAAGUUCACACUGUGACGGUAUCUUACCAGAAAGGGACGGCUAACUACGUG
rnacentral:rRNA from 1 species